rnacentral:misc_RNA from 1 species
CAACUAAUGCCCAAAUCUUAUCAUCUCAUAGCCCUUUUCCCCUUUCUGUUUACAGGAACAUCUAAGACUACAUUGGCAGACCCACUAUAACCUUUUCUAUUUUCUGCUUUAUUAUCUUCUUUUGGGGACCAAGAAGCACAUUUUGGAUGGUCCUGAUCAUAACUGGGUGGGGACAUGUGGGUCCAUCACUCCUUGACCAUUACAACGAGGGGCCCUUCUUGUGAGCUGCUGCCAGCAAAUCCUGAAGCAUGGCUUGCAGGGGCUAUCACAAAU